rnacentral:rRNA from 1 species
GAUGAACACUAGCGGCAGGCCUAACACAUGCAAGUCGAGGGGCAGCACAGAAACAGCAAUGUUUUGGUGGCGACCGGCGGACGGGUGCGUAACGCGUAUGCAACCUACCUUUAACAGGAGGAUAACGGAGAGAAAUUUCCACUAAUACCCCAUAACAUCGAUCAAGGCAUCUUGAUUGGUUGAAAACUCCGGUGGUUAAAGAUGGGCAUGCGUUGUAUUAGGUAGUUGGUGAGGUAAUGGCUCACCAAGCCUACGAUACAUAGGGGGACUGAGAGGUUAGCCCCCCACACUGGAACUGAGACACGGACCAGACUCCUACGGGAGGCAGCAGUGAGGAAUAUUGGUCAAUGGGGGCAACCCUGAACCAGCCAUGCCGCGUGCAGGAAGACGGCUCUAUGAGUUGUAAACUGCUUUUAAACAGGGAUAAAGCACAGUAUGUAUACUGUGUUGAAGGUACUGUAAGAAUAAGGAUCGGCUAACUCCGUGCCAGCCGCCGCCGUAA